GCAGCCCGAGUGGUGAUCACUAUUAUUGGGUCUAAAGGGUCCGUAGCCGGUUUAAUCAGUCUUCUGGGAAAUCUAAUCGCUUAACUAUUAGGCUUCCAGGGGAUACUGUUAGACUUGGGACCGGGAGAGGUAAGAGGUACUGCAGGGGUAGGAGUGAAAUCUUGUAAUCCCUGUGAGACCACCAGUGGCGAAGGCGUCUUACCAGAACGGGUCCGACGGUGAGGGACGAAAGCUAGGGGCACGAACCGGAUUAGAUACCCGGGUAGUCCCAGCUGUAAACGAUGCUCGUUAGGUGUCAGGAACGGUGCGACUGUUUCUGGUGCCGAAGGGAAGCCGUGAAACGAGCCACCUGGGAAGUACGGCCGCAAGGCUGAAACUUAAAGGAAUUGGCGGGGGAGCACUACAACGGGUGGAGCCUGCGGUUUAAUUGGACUCAACGCCGGAAAACUCACCGGGGGCGACAGCAAUAUGUAGGUCAGGUUAAAGGUCUUACCUGAAUCGCUGAGAGGAGGUGCAUGGCCGUCGUCAGUUCGUACUGUGAAGCAUCCUGUUAAGUCAGGCAACGAGCAAGACCCGUGCCCACUGUUACCAGCAUAUCCUUUAUGGAUGAUGGGGACUCUGUGGGGACCGCUGCUGCUAAAGCAGAGGAAGGUGCGGGCUACGGUAGGUCAGUAUGCCCCGAAUCUCCCGGGCUACACGCGGGCUACAAUGGUUGGGACAAUGGGUAUCUACUCCGAAAGGAGUUGGCAAUCUCUUAAACCCAAUCGUAGUUCGAAUUGAGGGCUGUAACUCGCCCUCCAUGAAGCUGGAAUCCGUAGUAAUCGCGUUUCAACAUAGCGCGGU
rnacentral:rRNA from 1 species